AGAGUUUGAUCCUGGCUCAGACUGAACGCUGGCGGCAUGCCUAACACAUGCAAGUCGAACGGCAGCACAGCCCCGCAAGGGGUGGGUGGCGAGUGGCGGACGGGUGAGGAAUACAUCGGAAUCUGCCCUGUUGUGGGGGAUAACCCAUCGAAAGGUGGGCUAAUACCGCAUGAGACGGUGACGUGAAAGCGGGGGACCUGUAAGGGCCUCGCGCGACGGGAUGAGCCGAUGUCGGAUUAGCUAGUUGGUAGGGUAAAGGCCUACCAAGGCGACGAUCCGUAGCUGGUCGGAGAGGAUGAUCAGCCACACUGGGACUGAGACACGGCCCAGACUCCUACGGGAGGCAGCAGUGGGGAAUAUUGGACAAUGGGCGCAAGCCUGAUCCAGCAAUGCCGCGUGUGUGAAGAAGGCCUUCGGGUUGUAAAGCACUUUUAUCGGGAGCGAAAAGCGGAUGGUGAAUACCUAUCCGUCAUGACGGUACCCGAGGAAUAAGC
rnacentral:rRNA from 1 species